rnacentral:rRNA from 1 species
GACGAACGCUGGCGGCGUGCUUAACACAUGCAAGUCGAACGGAAAGGCCCUGCUUUUGUGGGGUGCUCGAGUGGCGAACGUGUGAGUAACACGUUAGUAACCUUCCCUUGACUUUGGGAUAACUUCAGGAAACUGGGGCUAAUACCGGAUAGGAGCUCCUGCUGCAUGGUGGGGGUUGGAAAGUUUCGGCGGUUGGGGAUGGACUCGCGGCUUAUCAGCUUGUUGGUGGGGUAGUGGCUUACCAAGGCUUUGACGGGUAGCCGGCCUGAGAGGGUGACCGGCCACAUGGGGAAUGAGAUACGGCACAGACUCCUACGGGAGGCAGAAGUGGGGAAUAUUGCAAAAUGGGCGGAAGCCUGAUGCAGCAACGCCGCGUGAGGGAUGACGGACUUCGGGUUGUAAACCGCUUUCGCCUGUGACGAAGCGUGAGUGAAGGUAAUGGGUAAAGAAGCACAGGCUAACUACGUG